UGACGCCUGAGCAAUAAAUGUCUUGCUUUU
rnacentral:piRNA from 1 species